rnacentral:rRNA from 1 species
UACGAAGGGGGCUAGCGUUGUUCGGAAUCACUGGGCGUAAAGGGCGCGUAGGCGGCUUUUUAAGUCAGGGGUGAAAUCCUGGAGCUCAACUCCAGAACUGCCUUUGAUACUGGGAAGCUUGAGUCCGGGAGAGGUGAGUGGAACUCCGAGUGUAGAGGUGAAAUUCGUAGAUAUUCGGAAGAACACCAGUGGCGAAGGCGGCUCACUGGCCCGAUACUGACGCUGAGGCACGAAAGCGUGGGGAGCAAACAGG